rnacentral:rRNA from 1 species
GACGAACGCUGGCGGCGUGCUUAACACAUGCAAGUCGAACGCUGAAGCUCAGCUUUUGUUGGGUGGAUGAGUGGCGAACGGGUGAGUAACACGUGAGUAACCUGCCUCCUUCUUUGGGAUAACGCCCGGAAACGGGUGCUAAUACUGGAUAUUCACUGGUCUUCGCAUGGGGGUUGGUGGAAAGGGUUUUUCUGGUGGGGGAUGGGCUCGCGGCCUAUCAGCUUGUUGGUGGGGUGAUGCCUACCAAGGCUUUGACGGGUAGCCGGCCUGAGAGGGUGACCGGUCACAUUGGGACUGAGAUACGGCCCAGACUCCUACGGGAGGCAGCAGUGGGGAAUAUUGCACAAUGGGCGAAAGCCUGAUGCAGCGACGCCGCGUGAGGGAUGGAGGCCUUCGGGUUGUGAACCUCUUUCGCUCAUGGUCAAGCCGCAACAAUGGUUGUGGUGAGGGUAGUGGGUAAAGAAGCGCCGGCUAACUACGUG